rnacentral:rRNA from 1 species
UACGAAGGGGGCUAGCGUUGCUCGGAAUCACUUGGCGUAAAGCGCACGUAGGCGGAUCUUUAAGUCAGGGGUGAAAUCCCGAGGCUCAACCUCGGAACUGCCUUUGAUACUGGGGAUCUCGAGUCCGGGAGAGGUGAGUGGAACUGCGAGUGUAGAGGUGAAAUUCGUAGAUAUUCGCAAGAACACCAGUGGCGAAGGCGGCUCACUGGCCCGGAACUGACGCUGAGGUGCGAAAGCGUGGGGAGCAAACAGG